rnacentral:rRNA from 1 species
UACGUAGGCAGCAAGCGUUGUUCGGAGUUACUGGGCGUAAAGGGUGCGUAGGUGGUGCCCUAAGUCUGUUGUGAAAUCUCCCGGCUUAACUGGGAGGGUGCGGUGGAAACUGGGGUGCUUGAGUGUGGGAGAGGUAAGCGGAAUUCCUGGUGUAGCGGUGAAAUGCGUAGAUAUCAGGAGGAACACCGGUGGUGUAGACGGCUUACUGGACCACGACUGACACUGAGGCACGAAAGCGUGGGUAGCAAACAGG